UUAAUCUUGGCUGGUUUCCUUCUUUUCUUUUUGGCCUUCCAGGCACCUGUGGACGUCCUGUACAUACACAAUGACAUCAAACCGUAGCUGGAAAUCUGAUUCUCUUGGUAUAAUGAACAAUGAUUAGUUAGAAGCAUGUAAAACCACAAACUGAUAUCUAAAGUGUCCAGGUACUUAAAAUCACCAAUUGGACUGAACAGAUGUACCUCAGGAAUUAAAAAUUUUUCCAGAGGGAGUUGCCUAAUAGGGCACCCAUAAAGGAGGAAAAAUUCACAAAAUGCAUUCCUUGGAUACUGAUUAAAAUCUGUUCCAAAUCUAUGAAGGCUGAAGACAUACAUAGUGGUA
rnacentral:lncRNA from 1 species